rnacentral:rRNA from 1 species
AUGCAGCCAUAUCUUGAGGGUGAUGGAAUUCUUCAUCGGGAGGAGAUCCCUAAGCACCAUAUCCUAAAGCGAUGGACGAGAGACGCAAGGGAUAUACUUCCACGACACCUGGUUCAGUACCAGAAGGACAAUUCAGUGAACUUGUCGUUCACGUGCAGGUACGUGACGUUGUACUUCAAAGCCAUGGAAGUCGUUCAGAUGGGGGACGCAAGUGCUGCAUGUUAUGACCACAUGCAUGCAGGUCUCGAGGCUCUGCUACUGAAUGGAGCACCACUGGCAGAAAAGAGGGAUGGUCUGACUUUUGAGGAUCGCUCGUGGAAGGCGACGCUGACCAGUGCCAUAGUGCUGGGACAUUCUGUUAGUGUGAAUGCCCCACAAGGUCUUGCAGGCCCGGACAAGCAUAGAGGUGCCGGAAGGCCGACAAACAACAGGGAGAAGGCCCCAUACAAAGGUCUAAGUAAACGAAACCAAAUUCUGCAGCAUUUGUCAUCGCGAAGGCCACAAAAGGACCACGUGCCCGGAGAGAGGGGACGCACCGAAAAAGCCACGAAAACCCAGGAAAUGCAAGAAUUGAGGGAUAGAAGGACAUCGACGAAAUACCUGCAAGCGGGCACUUGGUUUUGCCGAUAA